AAUAACCAAAUAUAACACUUGGGCUAAGUGUCAAGUUGGUUAUUUUUCUACAUCUCUACCACCAGGGGCCUAGGUAUCAUAUACGCCUCCAAAAUAACGAGCCUUGAACACUAAGAGAAAAGCACCUACACCUAAUAACAUUAAUGAGUACCCAAAAUAGUGGUCAUUUUAUUUCUAUCUUUCUA
rnacentral:antisense_RNA from 1 species